rnacentral:lncRNA from 12 species
UCUAGUGCUAUUGAAAUCUUUUUUAAAGAAAUUAACCAGAUGCAUGUGCUACUUUUUGUAAUAUUUUUGCAGGAUGUUACUUUUUAUAAUUUUUUUUGAAAAUGCCACACGAUAGAUGAAUUUGAACCAAUUCAUUUCCAGUCACUGCAGAAGGGCAGCUCUCUCACCAUUAGUCAGUCAGAUGGUCUCUUCCACUGGGUUGGACAAGAAAGAAACAGGUGGACAGUUGGCUUGUAUUGAUGCUCUUAAAGGAGGUGACAUGUCCAGGAAACUGAAGCAGAACAAAUUGUAUACCUCUGACAAAUCUCCCAAAGGGCUUAUUGAAGAUCGGCUAUUAAGGAACAAUAAAGUUAAGGGAAAAAUGGAAGACUUCCACCUUAUUGGGUCAGUCCUCCAGGGAUAACAAAUGAUGCUUUGGAAGGUAAACUUUCAGCUCCUAUAAGCCUUUGUAGCAGACUCCUAUUCUGUUUUGGAUUGCAAAAAUGUAAACUUACUUAUUAUAUAAACAUGUAAAGAAAAUUUCAGUAACAAAGCAUACCAAUGGUUGAACAACAACAUAUACAAAAUGCAUUGUUUUCAUGUUGUGGGAUAUGCACAUCUUAUUAUGCUAAGUUGAGCGUGAGUUCCCCUACAAGUGUCAACUCCUAUACAAGUUAAUAGGCUACGGAAAGCGCAUUGCUUAAUACAUAUUAAAAGCAAUCAGAAAGAUAUGUCAAAAUUGAAUACACACAGAAGAAUUAGUCAUGUAUUUAUAAAUAUCUUAGUGCCUAAUGUUGGUGGAAUGAAAAUCCCAUAAUAGAUUUCUGCUAAAGAAUGUCUAUAAUCGAGUUUAUUUUAUUUUUCAGUUAGUAGUCAAAUGACAGAAAAAAAAACAAAUACAGUUGAAGAAUUAUAGAAUAACAGCAAGUUAUUUGGCUUACACUCGUCAAAGGAAACUCUUUCUCUCUCUCUCUCUCACACACACACACACACACGCAUCGACAAGUCAGAAAUCUUUUUCACUAUGUGUGUACAGCAAGGGUUCUUAACCUGUCAUCCAAGAUUAUGGGUGGAAAUAAAAAUUAUAUUUUUGCCUCA